AGCGAACGCUGGCGGCGUGCCUAACACAUGCAAGUCGAACGUGAAAGGGAGCAAUCCCAAGUAAAGUGGCGUACGGGUGAGUAACACGUAGGUAAUCUACCCCAGAGUCUGGAAUAACCUGCCGAAAGGCGGGCUAAUACUGGAUAGAGCGACGGAAUCCGUAAUUGGGUUUUUCGGGAAAGGGAGGAAGCAAUUCCCUUCGCUCUGGGAUGAGCCUGCGUCUGAUUAGCUAGUUGGUGGGGUAACGGCCCACCAAGGCAAUGAUCGGUAGCUGGUCUGAGAGGAUGAUCAGCCACACUGGAACUGAAACACGGUCCAGACUCCUACGGGAGGUAGCAGUGGGGAAUCUUGCGCAAUGGACGAAAGUCUGACGCAGCCACGCCGCGUGAGUGAAGAAGGCCUUCGGGUUGUAAAGCUCUGUCGGGCGGGACGAAAACUUUUAGGGUGAAUAGCCCUAGGAAUUGACGGUACCGCCAAAGGAAGCACCGGCUAACUUCGUGCCAGCCGCCGCCGUAA
rnacentral:rRNA from 1 species